AUGUCCGUCAUCAAUGCCUUUUCCGAGCUUUCUGCGUCCAAUUUCCACAUCAUCAACACAGCCAAUGUCGUGCUUCUGCCUAAAAAGGACGGUGCGGAGUCCAUAUCGGAUUUCAGGCCCAUCAGUCUCAUCCAUGUGGUUCCGAAGAUCAUCGCCAAAGCUAUGGCACGACGUCUUAGCCCGAAGAUGAACGACAUUGUUUCCCGCAGUCAGAGCGCUUUCAUCAAGUCUAGAACUAUCCACGACAAUUUCUUGUACGUCAGGAACACCGCCCGCCGGUUACAUCGCUGCAAAACUCCGUCACUUCUGAUCAAAUUGGACAUCGCCAAGGCCUUCGACACUAUUCGCUGGGAUUACAUGCUGGAUCUUUUGCAACACCUCGGCUUUCCUCAAAGAUGGCGGGCCCUCCUGACGACUCUCUUCACCACGGCCUCCUCUAGGGUUUUGCUCAACGGAAUCCCUGGGAGGGACAUCAUGCAUGGACGGGGUUUUCGUCAGGGUGAUCCCCUCUCGCCCCUCCUGUUCGACAUUGCCAUCGACCCACUUCAGAGACUUCUGGAAAAGGCU
rnacentral:rRNA from 1 species